AGAUUUCUCCCUCCCCUCUCUCCUGCGUUUUAAGCAAAGAGACAUCCUAAAAUAGGGCAUUUUUUUCCUCUUCCUUUUUUUUUUGACAGACAACUUCUGUGUAAAUGUUGAAAUCUGUGUUGUCUGUUAGAAGCAGUCAAUCUGAAAACUUUGCUGAAGAGAAUGUAUAUUUAGUAACGGGUGACAAAGAGAGGAAGAUAUUGAGAUGUCAAUUAUUCUGGGACACUGCUGGCUGGUUGGCUGCAAUGAAGAGAAGCCCUUUGACGCUAUAG
rnacentral:lncRNA from 1 species